rnacentral:lncRNA from 1 species
GUGCCAGUCUGCCAUCCACUGGAUUUUUGAACCCACCUUCAGCUGGCUCGUUGAGAGAUGGGACCCAGAUAUUCCUCCUAAUUUCUUGUGGACUUGGUUUUUCAAAUCCCUGUCAAAUAUUAAGGUACUUAUGUCUCAUGUUGAGAUUUCAGCAAGAAUUGUGAGUUGAAUGGUCCUUUUCUGCUUCUCCUAAGGAAUGUGAUUGGG